UACGUAGGGUGCAAGCGUUGUCCGGAAUUAUUGGGCGUAAAGAGCUCGUAGGCGGUUUGUUGCGUCGGCUGUGAAAUCCCGAGGCUCAACCUCGGGUCUGCAGUCGAUACGAGCAAACUAGAGUGUUGCAGGGGAGACUGGAAUUCCUGGUGUAGCGGUGAAAUGCGCAGAUAUCAGGAGGAACACCGAUGGCGAAGGCAGCUUCCUGGUCCAAUUCUGACGCUGAGGUGCGAAAGCGUGGGUAGCGAACGGG
rnacentral:rRNA from 1 species